rnacentral:rRNA from 1 species
UAUUGGGCGUAAAGCGCGCGCAGGCGGUUUCUUAAGUCUGAUGUGAAAGCCCACGGCUCAACCGUGGAGGGUCAUUGGAAACUGGGGAACUUGAGUGCAGAAGAGAAAAGCGGAAUUCCACGUGUAGCGGUGAAAUGCGUAGAGAUGUGGAGGAACACCAGUGGCGAAGGCGGCUUUUUGGUCUGUAACUGACGCUGAGGCGCGAAAGCGUGGGGAGCAAACAGGAUUAGAUACCCUGGUAGUCCACGCCGUAAACGAUGAGUGCUAAGUGUUAGAGGGUUUCCGCCCUUUAGUGCUGCAGCUAACGCAUUAAGCACUCCGCCUGGGGAGUACGGUCGCAAGACUGAAACUCAAAGGAAUUGACGGGGGCCCGCACAAGCGGUGGAGCAUGUGGUUUAAUUUCGAAGCAACGCGAAGAACCUUACCAGGUCUUGACAUCCUCUGACAACUCUAGAGAUAGAGCGUUCCCCUUCGGGGGACAGAGUGACAGGUGGUGCAUGGUUGUCGUCAGCUCGUGUCGUGAGAUGUUGGGUUAAGUCCCGCAACGAGCGCAACCCUUGAUCUUAGUUGCCAGCAUUUAGUUGGGCACUCUAAGGUGACUGCCGGUGACAAACCGGAGGAAGGUGGGGAUGACGUCAAAUCAUCAUGCCCCUUAUGACCUGGGCUACACACGUGCUACAAUGGAUGGUACAAAGGGCUGCAAGACCGCGAGGUCAAGCCAAUCCCAUAAAACCAUUCUCAGUUCGGAUUGUAGGCUGCA